rnacentral:rRNA from 1 species
GACGAACGCUGGCGGCGUGCCUAAUACAUGCAAGUAGGACGCAGGUGCGAACGGGUGAGUAACGCGUAGGUAACUACCUAUUAGAGGGGGUGAACUCUUGGAAACGAUAGCUAAUACCGCAUACGGGUAGAUGGACCUGCGUUGUAUUAGCUAGUUGGUAGGGUAAUGGCAUACCUAGGCAACGAUACAUAGCCGACCUGAGAGGGUGGUCGGCCCAACGUGGGCUGAGAAACGGGCCAGACUCCUAAGGGAGGGAGCAGUAGGGAAACUGCGGCAAAGGGGGGAAACCUGACCGAGCAACGCCGCGUGGGUGAAGAAGGUUUUCGGGUCGUAAAGCUCUGUUGUUCAGGAAGCGGUACUUAACCAGAAAGGGCCGGCUAACUACGUGCCAGCAGCCGCGGUAAUUC